rnacentral:rRNA from 1 species
UACGUAGGGGGCUAGCGUUAUCCGGAAUUACUGGGCGUAAAGGGUGCGUAGGUGGUUUCUUAAGUCAGAGGUGAAAGGCUACGGCUCAACCGUAGUAAGCUCUUGAAACUGUAAGACUUGAGUGCAGGAGAGGAGAGUGGAAUUCCUAGUGUAGCGGUGAAAUGCGUAGAUAUUAGGAGGAACACCAGUGGCGAAGGCGGCUUUCUGGACAGUAACUGACGCUGAGGCGCGAAAGCGUGGGGAGCAAACAGGAUUAGAUACCCGGGUAGUCCCUGAGCGGG